UCACUUUACCUAACCCAUCUAAUCCCCACCAUCUACAUGACAAAUCUCGACACAUCCUUUGCUCCAUCCAAAAUCAAAUUGUGUAUCCACUUCUCCAACUAUGAACGACAACCAAAGAGCGAACACUUGUUCUAUAAUAUCUGCAACCUAAAAUGCCUGCAACCGAAUUUUAGAGCUCUGGCCCAAAGUUUUCGAUUUUGACGGCCAAAAAAUCUUGAAGUGACUUCCAUUUCCUACAGAUUUGAAAUCUCCAUUAAAAUUUUUUCCUUCAUCCUAGUUUCUCCUUUGCUCUUGCUGGUUCUUCCCUACCAUUUUUAAGUAACGAGAAUCAUUUGCUCAAAAAAUUUACCAGAUCAAUUACCGAAGCAUACACUUGUAGGCAUUGUCAAAGUGAAUGGCUUCCUAUGUCAUAACUGGAACAAUCUUUAUCCCAAGAGCUAUACAACCACUGUCCUAUCUCAACUAUUGAGAAAACCUCCUUUGAAACCAUAGUUGGAGGAGCUGUUACGUAUUGCAAUGAAAUGGACAAUGAAGGAACGUCAAAUUUCCAUAGCCGCCUGUGAAUUGGCUGUAGCGGAAGGUGAUGUCAUGGCAAAUGCUUCACAAAGGCUGGUUGGGACCGCAUCCUAUCACUUUUCAACCAAAAGGCAAACAAGAAUUGGACAAUCAUCUAACUGAAGAAUGCUAGUAGCUGAUGAAGUUUGAUCACAAGUUGUUGUUCGAACUACUGUAUUGCUUGCAUAGGCGUGGAGUACAACUGAUAAUCAUGUGGUGGCUGAUGAUGAGUGGUGGGGUAAAAAAAUCAAGUAAAAAGCAAAACACUUGGAAAACCCCAAGUACGAUAGGUUUAAAAAUAAGGAUGUUGGAGAAAUUUUCGAUCGGUAAAGUUGUUUGUUAGGUGACACAUUUGAUUUUAUUAAGUACGCUUUGAUCCCGACCAAGUUGUCACGGCGUGGGUUCGGGAUAUAUGAUGACAGUGACAGUGAACAAGGAUCGUUUGCCAAAAUCUCUUAAAAGUAGUACUUCUAGUGACGACCCAAAAAUUGGCCAUUCAAAUGCAUCGAAGGAAAGAUCGAGCAAGCGAACUGGUGAAAAACGUAAGUCCACAUCACUUUUGGAGAAGGG